rnacentral:tRNA from 1 species
UCCCUGGUGGUCCAGAGGUUGAGACUCUGCAAAUCCUAAUGCUGGGGGCCUGGGUUCAAUUCCUGGUCAGGGAA